rnacentral:lncRNA from 1 species
GCCUACAAAUCCGCAGGCCCACUGGCACCCACAGCCCGUAGUGUGGCCUGCAGCGCGCAGGCCCACAGUGCGCGAGCCUACAACAUGCACGGCUCCAGUACACAUGGCCUAGUGUUCCAUGCGGCCCAAUGUUCCGUGCAGCCUAGCGUUGUCCACCAUAUGGGAGUUGUAGUUCGUGCAUGGUGCACAUGCAGUCCAUCACGUG